CUGAAGUGACUCAUUUUGUCGACCCUUGGUAUAACCUGCUUUCUUCCUGCCUGUCUCAUUACUCGAAGAGGGAAUAGAGAUAUGUUCCUCUCAGACCAAUGAGUAUAAGAAAUCGUCCCAAGAACGGUUGAUGAACUCUUCAGUAGGGAACCAUUCAAAUUUCCAAUGUACCUGGUCCUCUUUCCGAUUCUCAAACAACUCUACCCACCUCGUAGCGUCUUCAGGUUGAGCAAACAUGUUAGGCAUAUAAUUCAUUCGUCUUGGCUGAUGGAAGGCGAUAUGAUUACCCCAUUCUCUACGUAGAAUCUCUUGCCGAUAUUCACCCUUUUGGAGGUGUUCCGUGAGCCAGAGUUGGAGUAAUAAGUUACAACCCUCAAAGUGCU
rnacentral:lncRNA from 1 species